CUAAGCCAUGCGAGGUGCGAGGUGCAAGACCUCGCCACACUGCUGAGUAACACGUAGUUAACCUGCCCUGAGGUGGGGGAUAAUCUCGCGAAAGUGAGGCUAAUACCCCAUAAUCUUUGGAUACUGGAAUGUUCCAAAAAUGAAACCUACGGGGCCUCAGGAUGGGACUGCGGCGUAUCAGGCUGUUGUCAGGGUAAACACCUGACAAACCGAUAACGCGUAGGGGCUAUGAGAGUAGGAGCCUCCAGAUGCCCUCUGAGACAUGAGGGCAGGGCCUACGGGUCGCAGCAGGCGCGAAAACUUUCCAAUGCAUUAGCGUGUGAGAAGGGUAGCUUGAGUGGUGCAGCUUAGCUGCACCUUUUGCCAAGUCCAGAAAGCUUGGCGAAUAAGGGGUGGGCAAUACGGGUGCCAGCCGCCGCGGUAAUACCCGAGCCCCGAGUGGCCAUCUCGAUUAUUGGGCCUAGAGCGUCCGUAGCCGGCUCUGCAAGUCUCUGGUGAAAUCCGGCAGCUAACUGUCGGGCGUGCUGGAGAUACUACAAGGCUUGGGAACGGGAAAAGUGGGAGGUAUUCGGCGUGUAGGGGUUAAAUCCUUUAAUCCGCCGAGGACCACCUGUGGCGAAGGCGUCCCACUGGAACGUGUCCGACGGUGAGGGACGAAAGCUGGGGGAGC
rnacentral:rRNA from 1 species